GGCAGCUCGGCUUCGUUCCGCCCAAACCGCAGGCGGCGCCGCGCCUCGAGCGGGGUUUCCCGUCGUUUCCUGCCCCGGGGAGGGUUUGGCGGGUGUCCCCUGUCCGCGUGGCGGCCGCCGCGGGGUGACCGGGUGGCCGCAGACUCCCGGCCAUGGCGAGUGGAGCCUCUGCGAGCAGGAGGCCCGCGCGCACCGUAGGCCUGCGGGCCGAGGCGUGGGAGGGACCGCAAGGGACGGUGUGGACACAGUGGGGCAGCACGGGACAUUAAGAGACGGUGUGGGGCGUCGAGGGACAGAGUCGCACACCGCGGGGCAGAGCGGCACAGCACGGGACAGGGUGGCCAUCCUGGUGAGGGCGUUUCAUGAGCCCUCCUAACGCGGGUCUGCCCGGCCACCUCUCCUCCGACCACAUGUUUGAAAGUCAAGGCCAGGCCCUGGUGGCCGUUGACCCGUGGCUUCCAGGAGGAGCACCCCCAGCCCCAACCGGGCCUCGCCUUCGGUCUCCGAUCUCGAGUUUACUUAUGAGACCCACGCUGCUCUCCGCAUCUCCGGGCAUCCGGGUAGCCGACGAUGCCCAAGGACAAAACGCCAGCUAGCCUGCAGGAGGAGGCUUCUCCCCUGGAAGGUGAUGCAACUUAGGCUUAUAGUUUAACCGAAAAAUAAAUAAUACAAAUGAUAACAAACCAAGAGUAACUAAAGUAAGAAAAAAAGCAAACAGACAGAAACCCUCCAGUUUUAACCGGAACAGUCCCCUGAAUGGUACUCUCUCUUUAAGUAGAGGCCACAGACCUCCGGCUGACCUCCUUGGUCUUGGAGAGCCCCUUCUUGGUUUCAGCAAUUGUGCCCGAGAGUUACACAGUUAGCACUACCUAAUUGGGGGAGUUUAACACAUAGAAUGAGAUUCUGACCUCAUUAUCAGGUUAACUAUUAACUUACGCACUCCAUGAAACGAUUUGCCUUUUCUCCCCUGUUAUUCACUUACAUUCUUUUAAAUUCGAUUCAAAGGCCCAGUUUUGAAUUCAAGGGCUUCACGCACACACGCGCGCACACACAAAUCUGAAGUAUCCCUUUGCCCUCUCCCAGUUGCAAGACAAACCCAUGUUUAGCAGAGAGCUCUCCUCUCCUUUCUGAUGGUCUUUUUCUGGUCUAUGGGGGCUCUGGGGUCAUAGGUCCUGAGUCGGGUCAACCAACUUAUGGUCUUAUUGCCAUUGAUUUAGUUAUUAUUUUAGGAUGAUGGAAAUCGGUUACAACUACUCUCUGGCUUUCUUCACCACAUUAGGCUCUUUGCUGUGCGGAAACUCCAGAUCGUUCUCCCCCAUUUUGGUGUCAUUUAUGUUGAAGACUUAGCCAUAUGCUGUUAUCAGUGUAUAAAAAGAACUAGCCUGAGAACUUGCCAGAGAACAUCUUUUCAGACCUCACAGUGCAGAGCGUUUACUGAAUGGGGACCUAGAUGAACUCAAGUUUCAUCCGAAAGGAACCCUCGUUACGCUAAUUCAAGCCAGUACAAUACAGUUGUAAUUUGUGCUUUGGCCUUAUUGGCAUGCUUUUCCAUUCCCCUAUUCAUUAACAGCGAUAAUUGCCAGAGCAACCAUCAAACACACCCCUUCUUUAGAGAAAGAAGAUCCGCGGGAUACUCGCUCUACGGUUGUCAACCGUAUGGUGUCCCGUUUUGGGAAGCUGUCAAAAAUCAUAAAAUCACUGACUUCAUCUUGAGGUUCUUCGGUGGCAUGAUGGCUACCCGCAGCUCUGAGGCUCCUCUUGGCUGUGACAAUUUCAUACUUUCCUUGUUUUUGAUCAUCUUGACAGUUCUGAGGAGGACUAGUCAGAACUCUGAUUUCGUUUGAAUGGGCAGAGUAUCCAUUUUUGUACUUCCCUUGCAACAAGGGAUGGCCACUGGACAUUGCAUUGACUGCUCACGUGGUGGAAGUGGAGCGGAUGGUGCCGGCUGAGUUUCGCUUUCCUGGAGUAGAUUCCGCCUCUUCGUCCUCAGUCUUCUUUCCACUUCCUCCUUGAUAGGGGUGUCCAUGGAGUGAUACGAAGACCGAAGUCACAAAGGCAUUGACGAUAUCUGGGACCUGGUGCCCCUGCCCUUGGGUUUCUAUCCCCCAACCUCUUAUGAGGUGCUAACAAUGAGCCCCUAUUUGAUGAAGCCACAGAAGAGGGGUUUCUAUAUCACGCAGUUGGGUGCAGUUCCUAGUCAAUACAAACUUACUUGAGGAAAUGGCAUGUGAACUGGGCUUUGAAGGAUGUGAGUAGCAACUAACUGAGUCCCCACAUGCUCUGCGUAGACCUAGGGCUUUUGAACGCCGGGGUCUCAUCAUCUGAGUUGAAGGGUAUCAGAGCACAAUUUCUUAAAUCCCUCUACAGUCGGACUUGACGAUGAACCUGCCAGAGGAGAGAAGGCUAAAAGCAGCAGCUGGCCCUUGCCGUGUGCGAGGCACUGUUCUAAGGGGUUUACACCCGUGACCUCUUUCAGUUCUUACGACAACCCUUUGAGAGAAGUGCCAUUGUUGCCCCCUCUUAGUUGAGGAAGCCAAAGCAAAGACAGAUCAAGCCAGUGGCUCAAGAUUGCAUAGCUACUAAACGGAAGAGCCAGGAUUUGAAGCCCCGUAGUGUGGCUUGAGAGCCUGAGCUCAUUAACUCGUGACGAGUGGGCUUGACCCAAACUUUGGACUCAUUCCUGUCUCCUUCCCUUUGAUGCCUAAGAGGCCUCCUGAGAUGUGGUGCCCAAACAGGAGACGUUGACUGUUCUUACCAAGGAGUGCACUUCUGGAUUCCGUUCCUCGCCAGCUGAUAAGCCAGUUAGGCGAUGGUUUUGGAAUACCUUCAUGUCGGUCCUCUCCUUUUUGUUAUUUCUGAGAACCCUACCGAACCAACUGUUCCCUCAAGUCAUGAGACAGAGAAGUUCUUGAUAGUCUUUUUUUAGACCCUGACCCAAAGUCUAUCAAUUUGUUCCAAGUUGCGAUAAAAAUAUUUAUCGCAAGCACACGCAGGUUGUUUUAUUUUUUCCCUAGCUUCUGGACCGUUGCUUUGCCUGUCUUUUAUUGCCGCUUCUGGGAUGCCCCUGGAAACACGGAAGCUUCCCCCAUUAGGUCCAGCUCAGGGUGCGACUCAGAAAGCAGUCCGGGGAUUACGAGUUCAAAACCAGUUCGAAAACUGUUACGGGUCUGCGACAAGACGAGUGGGGAAGUGAAGAGGCUUGGGCAAUUUGGCAUGCCACAAUGUCCAAGGACGUGGUCCCUGAGCUAGUCUUGUUGAUGGGGCACGGGCCACUCCAGGUGCUGGCGCACUCACCCAAUGAGCUGGUUGUCACGGGAGCUGUGUUACAGGCAUGGGCAACAGGACCACUUGGUUCACGAUGGAUUGGAAAUGAGAACAAAAGUGCUUCUUCACGACACAUAGUUUGAGAAUCCCACCUGUGACUCGCGGUGGCAAUUCGGCGUGUGUCAUGUAAUCUGGCCCUCGACCUUAUUUUGCAUUUUGCAGGUAGCGGUACCUGUGUCCAUCUACAAGACCCUAAGCCCUUCGAAGUCAGGGCCUGCUCUCAUCCAUCACGAUGCCCACAGAUCCUGGCGCUGUGUCCAUAGGGACAAGCUGUCUGUAAACUCCAUGAAGGCAGGAGCAAGCUUCUCCUGUUCACCUCUGCACCUCCAGAACGUGCCGAGUGCCGUGUGCCUCGCGUAGAUGGCGUGCCUCAGCUGGUUUACUCGGAUUAUUCAGGAUUUUUGCUGGAAUCGAAGUGGUCUUUCAAGAGAACCGGCGAUUUUCUGAUGAAGCUGUUCACACGCUUUUGAAGCCAGGAGAAGGGUUGUAUAGACAACAAGACUAUAUGAAGGUAUGAAAUUGUCGUGGUAAGACGAAGUAAAAUUGGGCCACCACACAAGCAAACAUGGACAUCACCUGUAUCUGGAGUCUCAAAGUCAUGAAAUACGCAGUGUUUGAAAGGAUACGAGAAAUACAUUGAUUUGAUUUGAUUUUUUUCUUUUUGGCCAUCCUUCGUGUUACAAAACAGUUGAAGCUUAGUAUCAUUUCAAGCACGGAGUAUAAAGUGAUCGGUGAGGCUGGAUGGAGGAAAGGCAAAAGAAAUGAAUUUGAAGGACAAAAAAAAAACAAAAACAAAAAACCACAUAUCCUUCGAAGACCUCCCUGUCUCAAGGACAGAAAAUGCCUUGGCAGUCGCGAUUUUUGUGCAGUCAGAAGGGAGCUGAUUUCCCAGCUGUUCUGGUGUAUUUUCCUUAUUAGUCUUUGCUCCCACGGUCUAAAAGCAAAUACCGGAUCUAAGCGCCUACAGUACUGGUCAAGGACUGCAGCUUCCCUCGUGUGUGACUCACAGGCGUGAGCAAACCACCUACUGUAACAGCUGGCCCCAGACCCUGGCCCGGCCACAGCGCAGCAGCUGCUUUGCUGGACCCCUGCUUGCUUGGCUAUUAACUGUCUUAACUGUUGCUCUUACCUUUAUGGGCUGUGGUAAAGGCAGGCCUUAUUUAUUUAUGUUUGUUUGUUUGUUUUUGAGAGAGAGAGAGCGCGCGCGCACGAACAAGUGAGGGAGGGACAGAGAGAG